rnacentral:rRNA from 1 species
GAUUAAGUUAUUAAGGGCGCACGGUGGAUGCCUUGGCACUAGAAGCCGAUGAAGGACGUCACUAACGACGAUAUGCUUUGGGGAGCUGUAAGUAAGCUUUGAUCCAGAGAUUUCCGA